UACAGAGGUCUCAAGCGUUGUUCGGAUUCAUUGGGCGUAAAGGGUGCGUAGGCGGCGCGGUAAGUCGGGUGUGAAAUCUUGGAGCUUAACUCCGAAACUGCAUUCGAUACUGCCGUGCUUGAGGACUGGAGAGGAGACUGGAAUUUACGGUGUAGCGGUGAAAUGCGUAGAUAUCAGGAGGAACACCGGUGGCGAAGGCGGAUCUCUGGGCCUUACCUGACGCUCGAGGUGCGAAAGCUAGGGGAGCGAACAGG
rnacentral:rRNA from 1 species